rnacentral:rRNA from 1 species
UACGAAGGGGGCUAGCGUUGCUCGGAAUCACUGGGCGUAAAGGGUGCGUAGGCGGGUUUUUAAGUCAGGGGUGAAAUCCUGGAGCUCAACUCCAGAACUGCCUUUGAUACUGAAGAUCUUGAGUUCGGGAGAGGUGAGUGGAACUGGCGAGUGUAGAGGUGAAAUUCGUAGAUAUUGGGAAGAACACCGGUGGCGAAGGCGGCUCACUGGCCCGAAACUGACGCUCAUGCACGACAGCGUGGGGAUCAAACAGG